rnacentral:lncRNA from 10 species
AAGAGCAAACACAUUCAAAAGCUAGCAGAAGGCAAGAAAUAAUUAAAAUCAGAGCAGAACUGAAGGAAAUAGAGACACAAAAAAACCAUUCAAAAAAUUAGUGAAUCCAGGAGCUGGUUUUUUGAAAGGAUCAACAAAAUUGAUAGACCGCUAGCAAGACUAAUAAAGAAAAAAGAGAAGAAUCAAAUAGACGCAAUAAAAAAUGAUAAAGGAUAUCACCACCGAUCCCACAGAAAUACAAACUACCAUCAGAGAAUACUACAAACACCUCUACGCAAAUAAACUAGAAAAUCUAGAAG